rnacentral:rRNA from 1 species
UUGGAGGGCAAGUCUGGUGCCAGCAGCCGCGGUAAUUCCAGCUCCAAUAGCGUAUAUUAAAGUUGUUGCAGUUAAAAAGCUCGUAGUUGAAUUUCGGGGCCAGUAGGUUGGUCGUGCCACUGGUAUGUACUGGCCUUACUGGUCCCUCCUUCUUGCAGAACCGUGAUGGCAUUAAUUUGUUGUUGCGGGGAAACAGGACUGUUACUUUGAAAAAAUUAGAGUGCUUAAAGCAGGCUCGCGCUUGAAUAUAUUAGCAUGGAAUAACGAAAUAGGACGAUCGAACCUAUUUUGUUGGUUUCUAGGAUCGACGUAAUGAUUAAUAGGGAUAGUUGGGGGCAUUAGUAUUCAAUUGUCAGAGGUGAAAUUCUUGGAUUUAUUGAAGACUAACUACUGCGAAAGCAUUUGCCAAGGAUGUUUUCAUUAAUCAAGAACGAAAGUUAGGGGAUCGAAGACGAUCAGAUACCGUCGUAGUCUUAACCAUAAACUAUGCCGACUAGGGAUCGGAUGAAGUUAAUUUUUUAAUGACUCAUUCGGCGCCUUACGGGAAAC